rfam:Candidatus Kaiserbacteria bacterium RIFCSPHIGHO2_01_FTLL_55_17 rifcsphigho2_01_scaffold_258, whole genome shotgun sequence.
GGAGUUCUGAGUAAGGGCGUGUGGUGGAUGCCUAGACUCUAAAAGGCGAUGAAGGACGCGGCUUAGCUGCGAUACGCUUCGGGGAGGUGCUCAGCAACCUUCGAUCCGGAGAUUUCCGAAUGGGGCAACCCUAUACGGUAAACCCGUAUAACUCUCGACUUAACAGAUCGAGAGAGCAGACCUUGGGAAGUGAAACAUCUCAGUACCAAGAGGAAAAGAGACCAAUAGGUAUUCCCUUAGUAGCGGCGAGCGAAACGGGAGAAGCACAAACUCAGCCACAAAAUCGAACUGCAAUCCGCCAACCGGCGGAGUUUGCAGCGCGAUUUUGGGGAUGGGGGUUAAUAAGGCUACAGCGCUGGCAACAGGUAGAGUUACAAAAUGCUUAGAUAGAGGAACGCACUGGAACGUGCGACCCCAGGGGGUAAAAGUCCCGUACUCGAAAUCGAGGCAUCUCUAUGGCUGUAGUUCUUGAGUAACUCGAGACAUGAAUAGCUCGGGUGAAUUCGCCAGGACUAACUGGCAAUGCUACAUACUUUUAGAGAUCGAUAGUGAACUAGUACCGCGAGGGAAAGGUGAAAAGAACCCCGGUGAGGGGAGUGAAAUAGAACUGAAACCACAUGUCUACAAGGAGUCGGAGCGGGUGCAAAUCCGCGACGGCGUGCCUAUUGAAGAAUGAGCCAACGAGUUAAUAGAUACGGCUUGGCUAAGGGCCUUUGAAGCCUGGAGCCGCAGCGAAAGCGAGUGUGAAUAGCGCGUUUGUCGUAUCUAUUAGACCCGAAGCAACGUGAGCUACCCUUGAGCAGGCUGAACUUCGCAGAAAUGCGGAGGGAGGGCCGAACUCGUAGAUUGUGCAACAUCUUGGGAUGACUUGAGGGUUGGAGUGAAAAGCUUAUCGAACGUUGUAAUAGCUGGUUCUCUCCGAAAGAGCUUUCGGGCUUGCGUCGUGCGUUUCUCUGGGGGGUAGAGCACUGGAAGGUUCGGAUAGGCCGCAAGGCCACUGAUCCUAUCAAACUCCGAAUACCCAGAGCCAGAGCACGGCAGUUAGACUAUGGGGGCGAAGCUCCAUUGGUCACAAGGGAAACAGCCCAGAUCGCCGUCUAAGGUCCCUAAAUCCAUACUAAGUGCAAAUAAGGAGGUGAGAUUUCUCAGACAAUGAGGAUGUUGGCUUAGAAGCAGCCACCAUUCAAAGA